UGGCUCAGUGAUAGAGUGCUUGCCUAGUAUGCAAGAGGCCCUGGGUUCGAUUCCUUA
rnacentral:tRNA from 1 species